UAAUCCGUCAAGUUGGCAGCAGUGUCAGAAUCGCGAACGGGAAGACAUAACGGGUUGCUCUCGUUCCCCGUUUUUAAUCCAUAAUUCUAACCCGACGAGCUUUAUUUGGUGACUUAUUUGUGUUAAAACUAAUCUAAGCUUUAUUUAUAGUGCUUCCGCGUAGUAUAGCCCGCUGUGCUACGUGUAGUGAUUAGUUAAAAGUAACGAGUUGACAAUUACAAUGGCGGACUGAGAUAGUGUACUAAAAUAUAAUGUUUAUGUAGAUAGUGUGUAAACCGAUUGGAUUUUCGUCUUGUGAUGCCUGUUAUCGUCGGGCGGGCGCGGCUCGGGCGGGCGGCGCGGUGAUGCGGGGCGCCCGAUGAGCCGGCUUCUGUGCUGCCUGCGCGCGCGCCGGAGCGACAUGGGCGCCGCGCUCUCGCACCCGCAGGAGGGCGAUGCUUGUGACGGCGGGCUGCCCGCCUCGCCCCCCACCAUGGCGGACGUCAUACGAGAGCGCAAGAAGAAGGCGGGCGGCGCGGCGCUGGGCACGCUGCGCCGACGCCUGGCAGCCGCCGCGCGCCGCCCGCGGGACUCGCGACCCGACCGAGGGUGCGAGCACGCGCGCUUCAUCCGCUCGGUGGUGAGCUCGUGGCGGCUGGCGGAGGUGUUCCUGCUGUGCGAGGAGCUGGAGGCGGGCGCGGCGCUGCGGGACCUCGCCACGCAGGCCGAGCUGGCGCGCGAGCCGGCGCCCGCGCUGCACGCCGACCUCGCCGCGCUCUACCGCGACCGGUGGUGGUGCGACGUGGAGGUGGCGGGCGGCGGCUGGGCGCUGCCGGCGCACCGCGUCAUCCUGGCGGCGCGCUGCACCUACUUCCGCGACCUGCUGCAGAGGUACCCCAAUUGUGUGCGCGUGCCACUGGAGGGCGCUGGCGGGUCGCUGUCGCGCGCAGAGGCGGACGCGGUGCUGCUCACGCUGUACGCGGGUUCGGCCGCGCCUCGCUUAGCCACCUGCGAUUCUUGCGCCGGCUGGGACCGAGGCAUGAACACGGAGGCCGACCUGGACAUCAUCAGUGUAGAGAACUCCACAAUGCGGCGCUGCUCGUGCGGCGCGGGGUCGCGCGUGGACGGCGCGCGGCUGCGGCGCCUGGCCGACGCGCUCGGCUUCUGCGCCGACGCGCUGCACCGCGACCUGCGCUACUUGCUCGACUCCGGCGAGCUGUGUGACGCGCGGUUGUCGUGGGCGGAGGGCGCCACGGUGAGCUCGUACGGGUUCCGCAGCGCGCUGGAGCUGCCGUGCCACCGCCUGCUGCUCGCCGCGCGCUCGCGCUUCUUCAGGAGCGUCAUGUCGCGGCGCGGGGGCGCGGGCGGCGCGGGGGGCGCGGUGUUCGUGGACGAGAAGGUGCUUCCCCGCCGCUUCGCGCGCGCGCUGCUGCACGCCGCCUACACCGACCAGGUGGACCUGUCCCUCAUCAGCAGGAGCUCGUCGUCGCCCUCCUCCAGCACCAGCGCCGGCAGCACGGGCACGUUGCGCGGCAGCGUGUCGCGCGGCUCGCCGGCCGCCAUGUUGGACGACGCCUUCCAGCUGUACGAGAUCGCGCGUGAGAUGGCCGUGUGUGCGCAGGUUCCUCGAGAUGCCGAUAGUGGCGCAGGGCUGCGAGGACGCGGCGGCGCGCGCGCUGUCGGCCGACACGCUGCCGCGCGUGCUGCGCUGGGCCUGCGCGCCGCACGCCAGCGCCUGGCUGCACAGGCAAGCGAUGCGGUUCCUGCGCGACGAGUUCCCCGCCAUCAUGAGCUCGGCCGCCGCCGCGCGCCUGCCCCGCGCGCCCCUCGCCGCCGCGCUCGCCUCGCCCUUCCUGCAGGCCAGCGAGGCGCAGGCGCUGCGCGGCGUGCUGCGCUGGGCCGAGCGCGCCGCGCAGCCGCCGCACGCCGCGGAGCCGAACGUGGUGUGGCACACGACGCAGUCGGCGCGACGAGCGGCGCGCGCGCGCGGGCGUCGGGCGCCGGCGGACGCGGCGCUGCGCGAGACGGUGGCGGCGCUGGUGCCGCUGCUGCGGCUGGAGCACCUGCCGCCCGACUGCGACGUGCUGCAGCAGGCCAUCCGACGGGGCAUCAUCACGGCGCCGCCCCACCUGGAGCAGGGCUCCUCGGCGGACGCGUGGCUCGGCCGGGGCGCCUUUCGCUCCCCGCGCUGCUUCCUGCCCUACCUCGACGAGAUCAAGGCGCUGCUGGAGGAGCAGGCGGUGCCGGAGGCGGAGCUGGCGCGCGCGCGUCGCCAGCGGUACGCGCACCGCAUCCCCGACACGCUGUACAUGGUGGCCGCCGCCAAGUGCGCGCACGCCGCGCCCAGCGACGCCGACGGCGAGGCGGUGAGCACGGAGGGCGUGCGCGCGUGCGUGUCGGCGCGCGUGCUGGCGGCGCUGCGCGCGCGCGUGGCCGAGCUGCGUGCUUCCCCGCCCGCCGCGCGCGCGCUGCUGCUGCACGCCGCCGACCCGCGCACCGUGCGCCGACAGAUCGCCCUGCGCGCGGUGCGCGAGCGCUCGCUGCCCGACGCGUGCGCCGAGCUGCUGCUCGCCGAGCGCGACACGCCCGACGACAGGGAGGGCGAGGAGUGGGAGCGGCGGGGGGGCGCGCACAGCGCCGCGCGCAGCGACCUCGACGACGACUGCUGCAGGUCAGGCUCGGGCUCCCUGCGCUGCGCGUCAGGCAGUGUCUCCACGCAAGCCUCCAUGGAGAGCGCGCGCGCGGCGGGCGGCCGGCAGCUGCCGCAGCGACCGCAGGACGCGCCGCACCGCAGCGGCAGCUUCGGUCGCGGCGGGCGGCUGUCGGCGGCGGUGCCCGACGUGGCCAUGGCGCCCAACGCCAACACGCACCUGCUGACCGCGCGCGACUACCCGCAGCCGCACGCGCCGCACCCGCACCCGCACGCGCUGGCGCCGCACCCGCACGCGCGCACACACCACCGCCCGCCCGGUGCGUUCCCUCGCCUUGUGUGUGUGUAGUAACGCAGCUGGGCGCCGUGCUGCAGCUGGACCUCGGCGACGGGGCGACGCACACGCCGCGACCCGGUUCCCGCGCCCUGCGCGCGCACGGCGGGCGGCAGCGCGAGGCGGCGGCGGGCAUGUCGUGCGUGCGGCGCGCCGACGACGACGAGCUGCGCGCCGCCAUCGAGCUGUCCGUCAUACGCGCGUACUCGUCGCUGCAAGUGGCGCGGCGCGGUGCAGCGCACGUGGCCGACCUGCUGCCGCCGCCCGACUUCGCGGUACAUCGCAGUCGCGCCACGCCCAGCCCCUCCGCCCCCGCCGCCGCCGCCCCCGCGCGCCGCCGCGAGCGCCCGCACUUGUCGACGGCGGGCGGGGCGGAGCGCCGGGCCUGCGCCGCGCCGGGCUCCAGCGGGUCUGGGGCACCCGGCGGGUCGGUGGGACCCGUCGCGUCCAUGGGGCCCGUCGGACCCCUGGGCGCCCUGAGCGCGGGUCCGGCGGGCGCCGGGGGCGCGCGGGGCAGCGCCAGCCGCAGCCCGAGCCCGCGGCGCAGUCCCUACCCGCUGUACACGCUGUACGCACAUAGAGACUACAGGUCGGGCUCGGAGCCGCGCAGUCGCGCGCACAGCCCGGCGUACGCGUGACACGCGCCGCCGCCCCACCGCCAGGGGUGAGUCUCCUCAUCACCAUCAUCAUCAUCAUCAUCAUCACCAUUACUAGGGAAGCGGCUCGGAGCACGCGUAGCGAAGCGAUACGAAGCGGAGCGAUGAUCUCACACACACGAGUCCGACACUGUGCCCACACACACACACACACACACUGCCGUUCAUCGAACACCAACACUCUGUGCGCUUAUCCGGCUCGAAGGACCAAAAGUUCACUCGGCACUGACGGACAACAAACCAAUCGAAAUGUUGAUUGUACAAAUUAAAUACGUAUAACUGUUAACUCUGCAUCGAUGAUGUAAAAACAAACAUCCAACUUCAUAUCCAAAUACAUACUAUUGGCAAUAUGCCUUGAAUAUGUACUCUGCGGUUAUCCGGCUUCGAAGGACCAAAGAUAACACAAGAACUGAUAAACAAGUUAGAAAUGCUGACAUUAACCUGACAUAUACAACAUGUAUCUGUUACAUUAAUGUCAUAUGCUUAUAGUCUAAGAGCCAACAUUGGAAAUAUAUCCCUCAUCUGUUAUUUAUUAGUGAUGAGAAAUAAAUGAUAGAUAAUACUCACAGUGACACAUUGCAAUAAGGUUUUCUUAACAACCCAUAAUCGGCUCACUGUUGAGCAAGAAUAUGAGGCCUUAGCCCACCAUGCUGACCAAAUGCGGAUUGGCAGUCUUCACACACGCAGAGAAUUAAGAAAGUUCUCACGAUGUUUUCUUUCACCGUUUGAGACAGUUAUAUUUAAUUUCUUAAAAUGCAUGCCCCGGACUGGAUUCGAACCUACGUCCUUUGAAUCUAAGGCACAGAUCAUAUACAAGUCUAUCACGUCUCAAGGUUGCCUAGUUAAGACGUAUUUUUUUUAUAAGAAAACUAUGAACUAAAUCAAAGGCAACUUAAUACAGUUAAAUUAAGCAUAAUAUAUAUAGCUUUAAUUUGACAUAUUAGACAACUAAUUAACUUAUGAGUAUAUUUAUUUAAAUAACAUUUAUUAACUGUUUAUAUCUGGCAAGGAGGGAAAAAUAUUAUAUAAAUUUAAUAAAAAAUGUAAUCAUUUAAUACUCACCGGGUGCGAUUUAACUAGGCAACCUAUUUGCAAUGUGUCAAUGUGAAUAUUUUAUAUCAAUUAUUUCAAGUCCCAAAUAAAUAACAGAUGAGCAUAUAUAUUUAUUAUGCCGGCUCUCUUACUAUAACUUUUUUAAUUAAAUGACAAGAUAUAAAUAAAAGUGAAAUACUCAGUCUGUACGAUUAUCCGGCUUCGAAGGACCAAAAGUUUGUUCAUUUUAUUAACGUGCUUUUGUCAAAUGUUUUGAAAUUUAACUGCACUGAUUUUACUGUUCUUUCCUCUGGUACGGAACGAGGUUUUAUGACCUCGUACUGAAACUUUCUGUGCAGAACGAGGUCAAUUGACCUGACAAAGUUUUAGUACGAGGUCAAAAAACCUUGUAUCGUACCAAUGGAUGUGUUAAAUGAACGUUUUCUUGUAUCAUAUACUCAGUUAUGCGGCUUUCCUAUAAUUUAUUUCGUUAUUAAAUAACUAAAAAGUUGUUUUUUAAAAUGUCAAAUUUGACAAGUUACUUUAAGUAUUGUAUAGUCUGUUUAGUUUCGGAAAACAGUUUGACUUUGAAUGUAGAAAUGUACAGAGAACAAAUAUUAUUAUCAUCUGCCUAAGCAACGGUUAUUAUAAACGGGUUUCUAUGUCGUAUGUCUGUCUCUGUAUCUCUGAAAAAAAUAGGCUAGUUGACACUUUUUUUUUAAAUGUUCUUAAAUAGUUCAUUAUCAUAUCAUAUAGCCUAACAUAUUUUUUUGAGAUGUGAUUAAAUCAAAAUUUCAAUUUUUAAAUAUGUUUUUGACAAUACGAGCCAAAACGCCUGUCGGCCAUGACAGUCUAUAUUUCAACUGUUUCAUGACGUCACUAUUUGACGUCUGAUUUGUUUGACAAAAAUAUGAGUUAAAAAUUAGUUUGACGUUUAGUACAUCAAGUGUCAUUGUGACGUCACAAAAUGGACGACAGCGAUUUUGACGUUUGGAAAAUUUUAUAAGGAAUCCUUUUAACCGACUUCCAAAAAGGAGGAGGUUCUACGUUCGGCUGUAUGUAUGUUUUUUUUUUAUGUAUGUCCAGCGAUAAUUCCGUCAAUUAUAGACCGAUUUUGAUAAUUCUUUUAUUGUUUUGAAGGGGUUUGAUUCCGGGGUGGUCCCAUUUUUUUUAUUAAUUAAUAUCGAUAUAUUUGGGACCCUUAUUCCAUGUACUACACGAUAUUAAUAAUAUUUAUAUUAAAUUUGCUAUGAGUCGACUAGCCUCUUCAAAAACGCGUAUCUGUUAUUCUGACACUACUUACGUACUGCUACAUUCAAAGGCUGACUGUCUUCCCGGAAUAGAACAACUGAUGUAAAAAGUACUUUGUUAUAGCUUGGUAAGUUCGUUCGUAACACUACCUAUGGUCCGCGGGGGCCGGGAGGGGGUAACGCGUUCUUUUCCCCCCGGCGCCCGCAUAUCAUGGGUGUGUCAUCAACAAACUCUUCAAGCAAAUUCGUUGAUAACACUCCCAUGAUAUGCGGGUGACGGGGGGAAAGACUGCGCGGGGAAGUGACGUGGAUUUUCAUUCAUCGCAACACGCCCCCCGCCGGGGGGCAGUGUUACGAACGAAGUUGACAAGUUAUAUAGUUGUUUUUUUUUUAAUUUGGGCAUAGUAGUUGCAAAGGACAGAGUGUUAUUGAAAAAUGUUAAAUUUUGUACAUAGAUCAUUAUUAAUUAUUAUUAUCACUGCGAGUGUUCAAACGCAUUGAAAGGAAAUAUAAAGAGAAAUUAAUUUAUUUGACACACGUCGUGAAAACGCAACACAACCGCAUGCGGUUUUUAACCGCACGAUUUGUCAUCUGAUGACGAUUGACUCUGUUGUAUGUUAAUAGAUUUGUUUUAUAAAAACUUUUUUUUUAAUAAACAAUUGUAUAAAGGUGAUGUCCCACUCUCCAUACAUUGUUAUCUGCAGACAAAAAAAAUUAAUGCACACAAUGAAACUCUUACCUUUGGGUUGAUUGUAAUGUCUUGGUUAAUUAUAAAUUUUAUUUUUGAUCCUAAAUAGCGGGGUUAUUGAAUAUCAUAACAUCUCACAUAAUACCUAACUAGAAUGUCAAAAUUAAAAUGAUUUUAAAACCCCGCUAUUUUCCAAAUUUCUGUUUAAUAUCUUUCAAUAUAAAAAUUGUGAAGUAAUUUUAGCACAUUUAUAUUAUUGAGUCUCUUGGAAUUUGUCAUUUGACCUGGGGCAGUUUUGGGACAUCUCCUUUGUUGAAUUGCAUAAAACAUGCAUUCGCACUGGCGUUUAACCGCAUGCGGUUUUUAACCGCAAUGAAUCUUACUCAAUGAUGACCUUGUGUUUUUAAACAAUAUAUUUUUAAAUAGACAAUUCUAUAUACAUUAUUGAAUUGCCAAAAAAUGCAUUUUAAUUGAAUUUGUUAUAUUGACAAAACAAAUAAAUGCAUUUCUAAAUGGUAAUGUGUCAAAACCUAUUUAUCUGUUAUCUAUGUGUUGGAUUGUGAUCAGAUAACUGCCGGUGGUUCAGUGGUUGACUUGUGGGUUUGAAUCAUAAGGUGUUGGGUUCGAAUCCUGCUGAGGAUGUAAAGUAAAAAUUUUCAGCUUAUUAGGUUUUUUUUUCUACUUAAGAAUCGAUUUUUAAUAUAUAGCCUCCUCUAUGAAAUAAAUAUAGGCAGUAAAAUUCGAUGAACGAAUGAUAUCGGUACGUUUUUGUGCGCCACCUAUUCUGCGCACCUUUCACCGUGCGCUGCCGCCAUUUUUUUUUCUUUACAAGUUAGCCCUUGACUACAAUCACUUCUGAUGGCAAGUUGGUUAAACCUGGUUAUUAUCAUAAUUAUCUGAGUCAAACAAAUUAUCGCCCUAAACCCACUAGUUUGCAUUGAAGCAGAGUGGUGGGUGUAAGUUCUAUAUAUCCCUCUCUUAUAAGGAAGGAAGCUUAAUUAAUAUGAUAGUCUAAUAGUUAUGAAAAUCAUUGAAUACAGAUCGAGUUAAAAUUUAAAAAGUUUUGAAAAACUCCCGAAAGUCAUGACAUUAACUGAAAUAACGAUUUUUAUGUCAUAAAUUAUUUCCAACGUAACAGAAAAGUCUGAACGAUGUUGCAACAUGUGAACUGAUUCAAAGAGAAUUGUUUACUUAUUGGCUUUCAAGUGAAAAAAACCGCAUCGAAAUCGGUCCAUCAGUUUGAAAGCUACGAUGCAAAUAAACACACAGACAGACAGACCGACAUAUAUAUAACAAAAUAAUAUUAUAUAAAUGUUGCCUCGGGGGGGUAAAAACAACAUUUUUCCCUUCGACUGUAUUUUAAACACGCUUAUAUUAGCUUCACUUGUAAAUAUGUAUGUAAGAAAAUCUCGGAAUCUUAAUUUGACCCAUUUCCCGGUCUUUAAUUAGGAUGAAAUUUUGCACACGCUCUGAGUUCUGAUGACAAUAGCUAAGAAACGUCAUUACAAAUCCAAUAUGGCGGCCUCCACAAGAUGGCGGACUGACUGUUUGAAAUCAACCCCCAUGAUAUGGGUAUCAAAUGAAAGAGUUUGCUGUCAGGAAUACGAAAAUUAGUGCGUGCUUUUUUUUUAAUAAACUAGUUUUUUUUUAUUUAUUUUAAGUAUAUUUGUCAGAGCUCAUAGAAAUAUAACCAGUAUUACAAUAGUUGCAGCGAGCGGGUAUCGAACCUGCACUGUAAUGGGUUAGAUAACCAUUGAGCUAUCGAGGCUUCGCAUAGAUUCAGAUGGAUAGGUUUUUGAGAUGAAAUAUGACACACAGACAUACAGUUACUGCCCUCACACAGCAAGCACUCUGUAAACAUUCCAUACGGUGAAGAAGUAAUUAAAUUAUAUUAUUGUAUAACAAGUUGUAAUAUAACAAAUAAUAAACAUUAUUGUAACAUA